UGAAUUAAAAUUUUAUAAAAACAACCCAAAACAUCCAAAAAUUGAUCCUUUAGGGAUCCCUAUAUAUGUUCAUUCUAAUCCCCAAGUGUGAAUAACUCAUCCCUUACCUCGAUGUAGUCGCUCAAAUGUUCUCCGUUAGCAAUUGUGGCGUCUUGGUGCUCUCUAGAGCUCAUCUUCUGGUUACUCUAAUAGGGUUUUUGUGCAUCAGAAAAAGAAGAAAGGAACAUAAGUGUUUUGUAAAAGCUGCUCUAGGUUAACAUUUGGUUUAUAUAGUGAAAAUUUAUGAC
rnacentral:lncRNA from 1 species